GAGUUUUCGCGGUGAUGGAGUCAAUGGCGAUAGCUGAAAACCACCUACCUGGUCCAGGGACCCAACAAGUGAGAGCACGUACCUGAUUCGCCCGCGUUAGCGACAGUACGUAGUUGAUGGCUUCGGAGCUGUAGCCGCUACCGCUCCAAAAAGGAGCCAUCCACCAGACUGGAUGACUGACGAGAAAGGAGGGAAGAGGAGGAAAGAGGCCCUCAGAGGCGACGUGUUGUGUGGGGCGUAUGGAGGGACUGGCGUGAUGACCCGCAGGGGAAUGGAAAGGUAAUGCCAG
rnacentral:lncRNA from 1 species